GACGAACGCUGGCGGCGUGCUUAACACAUGCAAGUCGAACGGAAAGUCCCCGUUGAGUGUACUCGAGUUGCGUACGGCGGAGUAACACGCGAGUAACCUGCCCUUAACUUCGCGAUAACUGCAUGAAACUGGGGCUAAUACUUGGUAGGAAUCCUUUCUGGCUGUUGGGUGUUGGAACGCUUCGGCGGUUUUGGAUUGAGUCGCGGCUCAUCCGCUUGUUGGUGGGGUAGUGGUUUACCGAGGCUGUGACGCGUAGCCGGCCCGGGAGGGCGACCGGCCACAGUGGGACUGAGAUACGGACCAGACUCCGACGGGAGGGAGCAGUGGGGAAUAUUGCACAAUGGGCGGAAGCCUGAUGCAGCAACGCCGCGGGCGGGAUGACGGCCUACGGGUUGUAAUCCGCAUUCAGCAGGGGCGAAGCUGGUGGUGACGGUACCUGCAGAAGAAGCACCGGCUAACUACGUG
rnacentral:rRNA from 1 species